AGGGGGAACCUGAUCCAGCCAUGCCGCGUGAGUGAUGAAGGCCUUCGGGUUGUAAAGCUCUUUUGUGUGGGAAGAUAAUGACUGUACCACAAGAAUAAGCCCCGGCUAACUUCGUGCCAGCAGCCGCGGUAAUACGAAGGGGGCUAGCGUUGUUCGGAAUUACUGGGCGUAAAGGGUGCGUAGGUGGUUAUGUAAGUCAGAAGUGAAAGCCCUGGGCUCAACCCGGGAACUGCUUUUGAAACUACAUAGCUAGAGUUCGAGAGAGGUAAGUGGAAUAUCCAGUGUAGAGGUAAAAUUCGUAGAUAUUGGAUGGAACACCGGUGGCGAAGGCGGCUUACUGGCUCGAUACUGACACUGAGGCACGAAAGCGUGGGGAGCAAACAGGAUUAGAUACCCUGGUAGUCCACGCUGUAAACGAUGAAUGCUAGUUGUUGGAAAGUCUAACUUUUCAGUGACGCCGUUAACACAUUAAGCAUUCCGCCUGGGGAGUACAUUCGCAAGGAUGAAACUCAAAGAAAUUGACGGGGGCCCGCACAAGCGGUGGAGUAUGUGGUUUAAUUCGACGCAACGCGAAGAACCUUACCAGGCCUUGACAUGGCUAGUAUGGGGUUAAGAGAUUAACUCCUUCAGUUCGGCUGGCUAGCACACAGGUGCUGCAUGGCUGUCGUCAGCUCGUGUCGUGAGAUGUUGGGUUAAGUCCCGCAACGAGCGCAACCCUUAUCGUCAGUUGCUACCAGGUUAUGCUGGGCACUCUGAUGAAACUGCCGGUGACAAGCCGGAGGAAGGCGGGGAUGACGUCCAGUCCUCAUGGCCCUUACGGCCUGGGGCUACACACGUACUACAAUGGNUGGUGACAGUGGGNNUGCGAAAGCNCAAGCUNGANCC
rnacentral:rRNA from 1 species